rnacentral:misc_RNA from 1 species
CUACAGAGAAACAAGAAGGAUCAUCCGCUCGUUUCGUCUAAAUACUCUUCCCAGUACAUUCAAAACGUUGAUAAUUCAAGAUGAAAGUUUUCAUGCAGAAAACGGUACAGUUGGCAGAAGGAACGUGUUGACGAAAUGAAAGGAUGAAAGGUACUACAAGACGAUCAAUUAUGGCAGUAUUUACUGUGCAAACAGUCCGAUCAGAUGAUUUAAUGAAAACGCCCUGCUGCCAUUUAAUUAAGGAAAAUCUCAAUCAAGCCAUUUCAUUAGACUUUCCAAGCUAAUGCUAUAAAAUCCAAGGACU